UACGUAGGGGCCUAGCGUUGUCCGGAAUUAUUGGGCGUAAAGAGCUCGUAGGCGGUUCGGCAAGUCGGAUGUGAAAUCUCCACGCUUAACGUGGAGGGGCCAUUCGAAACUGCUGUGACUCGAGUCCGGUAGGGGAGUGUGGAAUUCCUGGUGUAGCGGUGAAAUGCGCAGAUAUCAGGAGGAACACCGGUGGCGAAGGCGGGUCUCUGGGCAGUAACUGACGCUGGAGGAGCGAAAGCGUGGGGAGCGAACAGG
rnacentral:rRNA from 1 species